AAAUUUCUACUUUUACGGAAUGAGCCAAAGCCUUAUGUGUGGAUCCAUUAAAAUUUUCUACUUUUCGUUCUUAAUCGGGUUUUAUGAAGUAUAAAGGUAUAAAGGCCUUAUACAGUAAAUAUUUUUUCAAUUUAAGAUAGGCAGCUAAGGCGGUAACAUAUCGAUUUACAGACAACUUUACGGGACUACGUACUAAGGACACUAUCAAGAAAGAUGGUAGACAUCCUCGGAAUUGUUAUAGCGGUUUUAGGUUCCAUUCUUGGAGCCGUUGUGGCAUCUCGGGAAGAAAGACAUUACAAAGCAUAUGUAGUAAAUAAAAUCCGUACAGAGAUCUUUUGGAAGCAAAUAAUGCAACCAAGAGAAAUAAUAGCAGACUCGGUUUGAUCAAGUGAGCGGCUCAUUGAAAGUCACAAAUGUAUAAUACAUGACUUACCAGACACGCAUAUAAACGUACAUUGUAUGCUAUAUCACAUAUUCUUAAUAGAGGCAUAUGUUGUCUUAAUCAUGAAUUCACGUCUAACGGCUUUGGUUUGAUUUUAACUUUACAUCAUUAUCUCAGCUAUUUUGUUAGUUCUAUGUAAACAAGAGAUUGUUAAAACAAUUUUCUAAUACAGGUUUAAUUGUGUGUUAUCACGAACUCAAGAUCAACACAUAAUCGUUAUUUCAUAUGUUUUCUGACAGACAGAAAUCGAUAAAUGGAUAUUUGUUCACAAUACAUAAUGAUAACAGCCACAUAGAAAAUGGUAAUAAGCUUUACAGCCAAAACCAAAACUUUGACCCACUUACAAUUAGAAAAAUCUUAAAAAUGUGAAUGUUAAAUAACACUUCUUAACUUGUAUUAUUCAAACGUCCAACAUCUCCUGGUUGUCUCUGAAAAAUUUCUACCACAAAAUUGAUAGCGUUUAAACAAUAUCGAAUGUUGAUACAUAUGUGCAUUUACUCAUGUUAUGGAGGGUAGAUUUAUGUGACCAUCUAUAUUUUUGGACAUUAAGAAAUUAUACAAUAACGCAGUUACUUAUUCAAAAGAAACACUUUAAUGCAACAUAAUUGAAAAACACGUCCGACACACAAUCCAACCAAUAUGACAUUUUCUACCGUCCAUACCGAGAGAGAAUAAAAGUAUAUGACUGACAAUUUUAAGCUGUAUUUUUAAAACCAAAAUUUGAAUAUUUACACUCGUUAUAAUUAUUAAAUUUAGCGUCGUGUAGAAGAAAAUUGGCAACCCUCUGUCAAUUUAGAAUGUGCUUAACACCACACAAAAACUUGCGGAUGUGCUACGUAUAUCACAGUGCUGGAAUAGCGAUUCUAAAAGCAUACAACUCCGUUACAACGAAAUGAAAAAAAUAAGUCUAAAGAAUAUAUUGUUGUUGUUUUUCUACCAUGGGAACAUGGUUUUAGAACUUUAUCAAAUGUUUUAAAGAAUUGAUUAAAACACAACGCAAUAAGAUGACAUAUUACAGUUCGGGCAGUGCUUAAGUAUUAGAAACCUGUCACCUAACAUAAAUUCAAAAACAAUACAUUUCAUUAAAGAGACAGGCUCAUUAGAAACAGUUCAAAUGAUAAAGCCCUCUCAUGAUGCAGGCUUUCUAUCCAUCUACGAUCUCCGUCAAAGUACAUCGAACAUUUCUUGAUGUUCCUGUCUUUUCUAAAUAAUCAGCUGUUUUGUAUCAGUCUGAUUUCUUUUAUUCUUUUUACAUCUUGGACGAAUUGGACUUAGCAUUUGUUACUAUAUUUCCAAGAUUCAGGAAGAAAAUUAAUCAGAACUUUAUCAGGAGCCAUGUCUUAAAUUACGCAGCCAUCCAGAUGUCUCUCUUCGCACACAAAAUUCUGUGAUUUGUCAGCAACAGUUGAAUUUGCAUUUUUCGAUUACUUUUCUGAUAUUAUUGUGUUUUUCAACCACUUUCUGAACAAUUCCAACUCAAUCAAUAAUGUUAAUAAACGUUUCCAUACUAACUAUUUUCUGUCUUUUAUUCUGUCACAACGAUGUUUUGGACGUUCAACAUACAACAGUUUCUACUGGAUAAUAAAUUCUGUAAAGAUUUUUUGAAAGCAAAGAAUGCAGUCAAAUAAAGUAAUAGCAGACUCGGUUUGAUUAAGUCCGUUCAAAUCAUUGUAAGUCAUAUGUGCCACUACAUCUUCUUUGAACAUGGAAGAAAAAUAGUCAAAAUUGUCAAAAAAGGAAAUUCAGAGAAACCUAAUUACAAUAAAGCAAGUCUAAGAAUACCUUAUUUCAACUACAUAAAUAACAAAAUUUCUAUGUAACCUCCGUAACAAAAUAUCUUCUCGCUAACCCUAACCCUAACCCUAGGGUCGCCGAAGUCACAUUUUUAAAAAAAAAUUAGUAAGAUUUUAAAUAUUACAUAAUGACGGGAACAUUACUGAAACCAGAUCAUAUUGGGUGCAGUGACUAAACAAGGACAAGUUCAAUGCAGUCGGACAAACUAUCUCACCUCCAUAACGGUAAUGUGGGAUAAUUCAAGCUCUAUAUCACUUUUCCUCAGAUAAAAUACUCAGAAAAAAUAUAUAUUUCUUGAAUCUGAGUCCGUUUUGACAUAUCUCUUUGGCCAAAUAUUCAUGUAUGAAAUUUAAAUGUUGCACUGGAAUGUAUGAACACGUUAUCGCCUCCGUAACGGACAUGUUUAAAGAGACAUAAUUAUUUCAGCGCUAUAUUUUAUGUAUAGUUUUACGUUCAAACCAAAAAAAGCAGAGAAUGCAAGGAAAUUUCUAAAGUGGGUCAAAUGUUUGGUUUUGACUGUUUAUAAUUGAUACUAGAGCCUGCAAAAACUGUUGUCUUGUUGAUGCACGUCUUAUUGUAGUUGUUUUAUUCUACUUCAACAUUUUUUAAUUUCCUUUGUUGAUAAUAUGAAGUAUUUCACAUGGGAAUAAAAAUUGUUUGAAUUUGAUAUAUGUAUCCAACUUUUCGGACUGACACUGGUGCGUUCUCGUCAAACAAUGGAGGCAUGAUAAAAAUACUUCAAUUGUUUACCUUAUUUGUGAUAUGGCUUUUGUAUAUCCAUUUCAUAUGUUUUCAUAGAAUAAAUAAAGUAGACAGAAAUUACAGUAUUCAUUUUCAA
rnacentral:lncRNA from 1 species